ensembl:snoRNA SNORD31 Small nucleolar RNA SNORD31
UCCUGAAAUGAUGACUUUCAUAUACCGCCCCAGUCUGAUGUAAAACUGACUGAUUGGUUACUGAACUGAU